CUACGGGAGGCAGCAGUAGGGAAUAUUGGACAAUGGGUGAGAGCCUGAUCCAGCCAUGCCGCGUGCAGGAAGAAAGCCUUCUGGGUUGUAAACUGCUUUUUUCAGGGGAUAAAAGGCCCGUGCGCGGGACAUUGAAAGUACCUGGAGAAUAAGCCACGGCUAACUACGUGCCAGCAGCCGCGGUAAUACGUAGGUGGCGAGCGUUGUCCGGAUUUAUUGGGUUUAAAGGGUGCGUAGGCGGCGCUUUAAGUCAGUGGUGAAAUACGGCAGCUUAACUGUCGAGGUGCCAUUGAUACUGGAGUGCUAGAGUACUGAUGAGGUAGGCGGAAUGGACGGUGUAGCGGUGAAAUGCUUAGAGAUCGUCCAGAACACCGAUAGCGAAGGCAGCUUACUAAGGAGUAACUGACGCUGAGGCACGAAAGUGUGGGGAUCAAACAGGAUUAGAUACCCUAGUAGUCC
rnacentral:rRNA from 1 species